rnacentral:RNase_P_RNA from 1 species
ACCGCAGACCGCCUUAUCGUCCCGAUUCUUGUCGGGAAGGAAAGUCCGGACACCACAGAGAAGCAUAGCGGCUAACAGCCGUCGGUUGACUCUGAAUUUAUUUCAGAGUCGAUUAGGACAAGUGCAACAGAAAGUAUGUACAGGUAAUGCUGUAGUGAAACCAGGUAAACUCUAUGCGGUGAAAUUUCAAGUAUAUCGGCAUUUAAGGGUUUCUCGCCCGUUGCCGAAGGGUAGAAAGAUGGAGCACGUGAGUAAUUG